UAAUAAUAAUUAAAGACACAUUUUUUUUAAUUAAUCACUAAAUAUGCCUCGUAAAUAUAUAGCAUUGAAGUUGUAUAAUUAGAAAUUUAUAUAUUGUGUAAGGAUAAAAUGGAAAAACAAAAAUUCUAAAUGUCAAACUACCAAAUGAUGGUUUGAAAAACUGUGGUCCUCAAACUACUAUUUUUCAGAAACAAUCUUUCCGAACAUGUAGAGUAAUCAUACUGUACAAUAUGAAACCUUUACAAAUCAUAAUCCAAACAUAAUAAACUAGGAAUAACAAUUAAAAUUAUCUAGGAAGUUAAAAAUAUGAAGAAGAAUCCUAGCUAAAAUAGGAAAAGAAUAAAUAUUCGGAUAUGGUUCCAGUGUACCACACGGCCUGGGCCUUGUGUUUUUGGGCUGUGCUACACGGUCUGGCCGUGUAGCUUUCUGUGGUGGGACUCUUAAGGCUGCUGGACUCUUUUUAUUAUUAUUAUUAUUAU
rnacentral:misc_RNA from 1 species